CAUGCAGGAAAGGAUCCUCAGACUAUGAGGUGGUUGCUGCAUUGCCAGGAAAGAGAGCAAAUGGAAUAGAAAGGCAAAUGCAGUAAAGUGAUAGCUCCUAAUAUCAAAAGGAUCUUGUCAUUCAAAAGAGAUGCCCUUCACUGGGUUUAUCCAAACACCUCAGCUAUAGCAGAAAUUGGGGGGACGUAGGGUGGGGAGACUUAGCAUUAGCUUUCCACAAGAUAAAAGAGAAGGAGGGAGGAAGUGAGAGGGAGAGGGAGAGAUAAUGGGUUUGAUUGCUGACAUCUCUUGCUAUACAACACUCUUUACUCAUUUGGAAGAAAUUGCCUAACAUUUUGACUUUGCGAUUUCCAUUGAACAUACUGUUAUGAGACAGUGACCUACACCUACUUAUUAUAUUUCCUUCUACUCACUCUGCAGUCUGGGCACCAGUCAAGUUAGACUUCCUUCUGUCUCUCGAACAUUUCUGUACUUUUUUACCUCAGCAUCUGUGUCUUGCUUUUCCUUCUGCCUGCAAACCUAUUUUCUCUUCUUUCUCCCUUCCCUAAGGUAAGUCUUCCCCAUUUAGCAGUCUCAAUUUAAACAUCAUAUCUUCAGAAGAUUCUUACAAUGUCCAGACUGGAAUAGGGACAUAUGCAUUCUCUGGAGAGUGGAGAAACCACCUGAGAUCUUGUGAUUGGAAAGAAACUUUUGUUGGAAAAUAGAAAUGCUAAUUUGCAUUCAAAGUGAAUCAUGCUGCAAACAGAGGAAGCAAUAUGUGGACAGAAGCUGCAUCCAUAUUGCCAUUUCUCCUCCAGAGGUUUUCUCCUAAUGCUCAUUAAUUUAUGUCAUCUAUUGUCUUCAGAUAUUGAAAAGGGCUCUCCAGCACUUGAAUGUGACUAUAUUAAGAAAUUUACCAAGAAGAUCAGGAAUAAUUCAGACACUGCUGAGACUUCCUGUUAACAUGGAAGACUGGAGAAGGGGAGAAGAGGUCCCUCCAAGAGGAACUCACAGCUCGGGGAGAAAACCUAGCAUACAGAUAUUCAAGAUGGGAUAUGGAGAGGCAACUGCUCAGGAGGGCAGGGCUUUGAACAACUUCCAGUAACUGUUAAAAACUGUCUCUCAAAAUGUGGCCCUCUUGCAAUGCCCUUUUAAAAAAAAUCAUCUCUAGAUGAAUUUUAUGCAUGUAAAAGCUUGAUAGACAGUGAAUCUGUGGGUCUUGCUGUAGAAUUUUCUACUGACCUCUCUGUCAAGAGAGAUUUGAAAUAAUAAUACAAGGGUCUUGGGAGGGUUUUGUACUUACCUGAAAAACAGCUUCUCAAAGUCCAUUUGUACAAAAGCAGAGAUCUUUUAUUAUUUUGAAGUUGUUGAACUUAGAAGAUCAAGAAUUCCCUAAAUUAUAUAUAAAUAUGGAGUGCUUGUGUAUUUUUCUAAGUGAGAGAUCUUUAGAUUUCAUCAGAUUUUCAAAUGGCUCACUAUUUCCCUUUCAAAUCUAAGAAUCACUGGACUAAAGAAAUUGAGCUCAUCUAAUUGCAGCUGAUUAAUUCUAUUGGAGACUUCAACCACCAUGGUCAGGAAAGCAGGUCAUUUUCUUGGUAACAAGAAAAAUUAGUCGUUAAAAUGUUUGCCUACCUUUUCAACCAUAAGUUUUUCAUCUUUUAAAUUAUUACUUUCCUCUUAAAGAAAAUGCUAUGUACAUUCAUGCACAUUCAUCAGCAAACUAAUAUGUGAAUUCUGGUUCUAAAUAUUCCAUCAACUAAAUGCAAAAUCCAUAUCAGGAAUGCAAAAUGGCUAAACUUUGACCACAAAGUAUGCCUGGUAUUUCAUAUCUAUCACCUGUCCAUCACAGCUUCUUUUUCUAUAGAAAGGAAGAGCCUAUGAAGCCACAAUCACACACAGUAUUCUUGGGCAAUAUCUCACUGAUAAUGUAGUUCUACUUCAUUGUAUAGGUGGUCUUUGCACAAGGAGGUCAGCUGUAACAAGAGAAAGAAGGUAAGAGAAAGUGACUAAGGUAGAUUCCUUUUCAUGCCUCUGUGAUUUGGAGUUAGUGACAAAAGUCUGUGUUUAUCUCCUGGUUAAUAAUAUUGUAUCAAGAAAGAAAGCCUCUAGUACUAAAAAAAGAAACAAAAGGAAGGAAACGGGGCGGAGGAUAAAGAAGAGAGGCAGAGGGAAGGGAAAGGAAGUAAAGGGAAGGGAAGAAAAUAUCUAUAAUGUGAAUCUGACAAAAGACAAAGAUUUUCAGUUAAUCUAUGCCUAACAUGAAAAUGUGAGGUUGGAAACAAAUAUUCUUGGACUAUAGAGUGUCAAAAUUCAUUUAGUUAUGGCCUAAUAGUAACAGGCAGAAAUGAAGUACACAAUUCUCUUUAAAUACAGAUGGGAUAAAGCAUCAUGCUCAACAAACCUGCCUCAGAAAGAAAUCCUAGGCCCAGGUUACUCGCAAAGAUGCCAAACUACUAACACUAGUAUUUUUGCUUCUGUUUGACACUAUCUUGCUCAUAUUUUUAUUGUCUGGCAGUCUCUGACACAGAAAAUAUUUAAUAAAUAUUGUUUAAUAGAUGCAUGAAUGAAAGAUAAUAAACUAAAAGAUGCAUUAGAGAUUCCAGUUAUAUUAAUUAAAAUACACAUAAGAUCUAUAUGAAAAAAUUGUCAAUGUCCCAAUGCUUUAUAUUUAGUUCACAGAUAUGAGAAUGACAUGUUCUGUUCCACAGAAUACUUUGGGGAUCCAGUCUAGGAGAAGUUCUGGAAUCUUCUGGUAACAUCUAGAUAAGAGGAAGAAAAAAGAGAGCAUUAAAAAAAACUUGAGACACACAUAUUGGUGAAGCAUUCCAUAUUUUAAAAAAUCAAAAAAAAAUUACUUGAGAGCUUUGAAUGGCCCAGGCCUGGCCAUGGCAGGCAUAACUUGCACCUAUAUUUUGUUAGAUCUCCAUCUUAUGCCCCUACUUUACCAAGGAGACUAGUACAAGUGCCCUGGUUGUGGACAGAGGAAGAAAAAAUAACAAUUGAUUAUAUCAGAGUUAGAGACAAGUCUAUGAGAACUUAUAUAAAUGAUACCCACCAAAUCAUAGCCAGCUCUAAGGUGGCUUACACACAUUGUGGUCUCUUCAGUGGAUUUGUUUUUCACUGCCUGAGUAACAAAAGCAAGCUAGUGUAAUCUUAAUCAAGUGAAAGGACCACUAAUCUAAAAGAACAAGAGGGACUCUCCCAAAAUUUGUUACGAUUCUUGGCAUUUUCAACUGCUUGAUUAACUCUUUGUUUUUAGUCCUCUCUUAGUGAGAUUGCCCUUGUAGCUCCUCCUAAAGUUUCACAGACAUUCAUUCUAACACAAGCCCCCAGAAGUCUGCUCUCCUGCCCAUAAGUAUUAAUUAAGCAAUGGACCCUCUUAUUCAGAGGGCUUGACAGGCACAAUAUAUGAAAAGCAAAGUGAACUAAUGGAGUUAGUGUUUCAAUCUCUUAAGUAUUCACCUCUUUGACCCUUUGGGAACAUUUCUUAAUGAGAUUAUGAGCUGUACAUACCAAUAAGAUUGGGAUUUAUCCAAUUAUCUCUUAAAUCUUUCAUUAGCAAACUGCCUUUUCUGCAAUUAAAUGCGAUAACCAUUUAGGUAAGAAGAGUUUUCAUUGUUUACUUGUUUUUUCUUUUAAGUGGGUCAUAAUAAUAUGUCUGUGUUCACCAUAUUUAUUAUUUGUUAUAACCAAGGUUUUUUAUGUUUAAAUAAGAUAUUAAAAUUCACUUUUGAAUUAAUUCUAAAGUAUUUCCUAUUUGCUCCUGUCUUCCUCCUCCUAUUGUUUCUUACCUUUCUCCUGUGUUUUUCUACUACUGCAGUGAAUAAAAUAGGUUCCCACUCUCAAUACUUGUUAACAAACCUAAAGACAUGAUCUUUCUUUAAUUUAAGGAAGAACCACUUCUGGAAACCCACAUACAUAGGAUCCUAAUCCUGUUCUCAAUGUUGGGAGGUGGGUAGGGAACCUAACUUGAGUGAUAUUCAUAUGUUUGAGACAAUGCUUGUCAACUUUGCUCAGUGGGAGGUGAACUAAUAUAUUAGUAUGUAGUGUCAAGACACAUGUUAUGAUUAAAGAGUUUUGAUGAAUAAUAAAGCAUGAAAUAGACCUUGCUAUUGAAAUUUUAUUCAUAGGAAUAACCAUUUCAAGGUAUGAGGCUUUUGGAACGUGUUUUGCAGGAAACUUUUUUAAAUGCUUUGCUUCUUCCAUUUCUGCCUGUUUCAACAUUUACUGCUUUUUUAUCUCCUCAGUAAUAUCCAGUUCCUCAGAAUAUUUUAGACUGUAACACAUUAUUAGGUCAAACCAGGAUGAUAACUAACAUAUAAUGGGAUAUUUCUAUUCUUCCUCAAAACCCCUACCUUGACAAAAUGCCUAAAAUAAUAAUAACCAAAAAAGUUCUGGGUUGCAGUUUCUUAAAGUUCUUUCUAAGGAGAGGUUUUGUAUUUCUCAC
ensembl:lncRNA